GUUGCAUUCUACUUUCGUUUUCGCAUGCCGGAAAAACACCAGGAAAUAAAAUCUUCCAUGUCAAUUUGUCGUCUUAAUUUUUACUGACAACGAAGAACUAGGGUUUCAUCAGCGAUAUAGAUUUAUGCAGAUGUAACACCGCCAUAUCUCAUUUAUGCCAGCCUUUGUAUAAAUCAGCGUAAGUGUAUCUCCUUGAUGCCAGCCUUUGUAUAAAUCAGCAUAAGGAUAUCUUAUUGAUGCCAGCCUUUGUAUAAAUCAGCAUAAGGAUAUCUUAUUGAUGCCAGCCUUUGUAUAAAUCAGCAUAAGAAGUGUAGGCAAAUGAAUUAAUGAGUACAGGUGUAGAAUGUCGGAAACAAUAUAGUCAUGACAUAGAAGAAAUUGUACAAAAGUGAUAUUUCUUAUAAUACAUGUCACAGAACUAAGCUCUAUAGGCGACAUUUAAACAUAUACACAUGAAAGAAACGCUUUAAAUCUAAUGUUUAUUGUAAUGUUUAUGAUUCAGUCAGCAAAUAGUGAGAAUGUUAUCUCAGAUGUCGUCUAAAAACAUAUGAGAAGAAAUGCACAAGAAAAAUGCAUUGUGAUUUUGCACGCGAUUAAAAAGGUUAUCAGAAGAAACAGCUGGGGAAAUGAAUAAGAAAGCUUAAGGAGUGAAAAAGCUUUAAGAAGUAAAAAAGUUUUAAAUGUGAUGUUUGUGAUUAAGUAUGUAAUGAAGUGUUAAUCUGAAAACUCAUUUCAGAAUACACACGAGAGAGAAACGUUUUGAAAGCAGUGUUGAAUAGACCCAGGUACUUGAUUAUGCAUGUAAUGCAAGUGUAAUCUGAAAACUCAUAUCAGAAUACAAACAGGAGAGAAACGUUUUGAAUACUGUUUUAAUUGUCCAGUUAAUUAAGGAGACAUAAUGAGCAAACCUAUAGGAGAAAAGCUAUUUAAAUGUAUUGUUUGUGGUCAUGCAUUUAGUCGACAUAGUAAUCUAAAAACACAUAUGAGAAUACAUACAGGAGUGAAAAGCUACAAAUGUGGUUUUUGUGAGUAUGUAUGCAACUACAGUUGUAAUUUGAAGAGGCAUAUGAGAACUCAUACUGGAGAAAAAUGUUUCAAAUGUGAUGUUUGUGAUUACGCAUGUAUAGGUGGAGAUGCUUUGAAGAAACAUAAUAGCAUACAUACUGGAGAGAAACAAUAUAAAUGUGAUGUGUGUGAUUAUGCAUGUAUAGAGAAAGGUACUAUGAAGAGACAUAUGAGAAAACAUACAGGAGAGAAAAGCUUCAAAUGUGGUUUUUGCGAAUAUGUCUGCAACAACAGUGAUAUUGAAGAGGCAUGUGAAAACCCAUACUGAAGAAAAAUGUUUUAAAUGUGAUGUUUGUGAUUAUGCAUGUAUAGAUAGAAGCGCUAUGAAAAGACAUAAAAGAAUACAUACAGGAGAGAAACCAUAUAAGUGUGAUGUAUGUGAUUAUACAUGUAGUCAACAUAGUCACCUGAAGACACAUGUAGCUAAACAUACUGGAGAGAAACAAUUUAAGUGUGAUGUAUGUGAUUAUGCAAGUAGUCGACAUAGUCAGCUGAAGACACAUAUGAGAAUACAUACAGGAGAGAAACGAUUUAAAUGUGAUUUGUGUGAUUAUGCAUGUAAUUAUUCUUGCAGUCUGAAAAAUCAUGUAAAAAGAACACAUACUGCAGAGAAAUGCUUGAAAAGUGGUGAUUGUGAUUAAAUAUGUCGUUGUAAAAGCGCUAUGAAGAUA
rnacentral:lncRNA from 1 species